rnacentral:rRNA from 1 species
CCUACGGGUGGCUGCAGUGAGGAAUAUUGGUCAAUGGGCGCGAGCCUGAACCAGCCAAGUCGCGUGAAGGAUGACUGCCCUGCGUGUUGUAAACCUCUUUUGUCAAGGAAUAAAGACAGGCACGUGUGCCUUUUUGUGUGUACUUUAUGAAUAAGCAUCGGCUAACUCCGUGCCAGCAGCCGCGGUAAUACGGAGGAUGCGAGCGUUAUCCGGAUUUAUUGGGUUUAAAGGGUGCGUAGACGGGUUGUUAAGUCAGUUGUGAAAGUUUGCGGCUCAACCGUAAAAUUGCAAUUGAUACUGGCAGUCUUGAGUACGGUAGAAGUAGGCGGAAUGCGUGGUGUAGCGGUGAAAUGCAUAGAGAUCACACAGAACUCCGAUUGCGAAGGCAGCUUACC